GGCUAGACAACUAUUUAGCUCUUCAUCUUUCUCUCCCUUCGCUCCCACUCUUGGCCAAAACCAACACCAAUAAAACCAUUAUUUUUAUUAUUUUUAGCUUCACAACUCUAACACCUCUGUGUACUCUUAGCCACAUUAGUUUUUUAGCUUCACAACUCUGCAUGUACUCUAGUAAGAAGGCACAACUAUCAUGGAUGAAGGCAAGGCCUGAGCUUGGCCACCUUUGCGACAAUCUAAAGCUGGACAAAUAGGUUAUCUUCAUGUGGUGUGAUUAUGUAGCUGUGUCUCUUCCUUGGACAAAUUCACCCAGAGCUUCAGAAAGGAAGGAGACUAAAAGAAUGGGUAGAGAAGAAGCAGUGGUUAUGGAGUUGUGGACAAUGAAAGAGCGGCUUAGGCUCUCUGAAAGUAGGGCAUUGUACUGUACACUGGCUGAGCCACCGCCCGGCCACCCCGGGCGGCUGGCCGGGCUCGUCGCGGCCGUUCAAAAGGAAAAUUUCUUUAUAUCAAAGUAGAACUCUGUAAUUUUCUAGCUAAAUAUUUUGCUUAAUAAAAAUUGCCCGGGCUCAUGAAAACGUCUGGCUCCGCUAAUGGUACUGUACCUGUCAGUGUUAAUUGACGCCAACAAGCAUGUAUAUAUUGUCAGAUUUAUUAUAGAUUAACAUAUUAGAUAUUUCUGUUGUAGUAUUUUCUCUCUUUUUUAAAAAAAACAUUUUAUGGAGUUCAUUCUCAUGUAUGUAUCUGAUAUCCUUGCUUUUUCAGCAGUUUUUAAAUAGCUAAAGCUUCUUCGACAACUUUCUCGUCGAUAUAUAUGCAGUAGCUCUUUCUAGCAGUUGUAUCAAGGGGGUGUUUACUUCCCUUCUAUUCCAAAAAAAAUUAGGUUUUAAUCCAUCAUUUUGCAUAAUAGAUCUAAACAUCACGCAAGUUUUUUUUGGCAAAAAGGUGACUAUUCUCUAUUUUGGAUUUUGGCCUUAUGAGGCUAAAAAAACCCAAA
rnacentral:lncRNA from 1 species